UCCCCACCCGGGGUGACCUUGAAGGCCACGUGUUGCAAAUGGCGGAAUGUUUUUCAACGGUGCUUUGCAGGAAGACGACAUCGCAGAAAUCACUACACACACUACCGUUAUUAGAGACAGGCUCUCACUCUGUUGCCCAGGCUGGAGCGCAGUGGGGAUUCACAGGCGUGAUCAUGGUAUACUACGGCACAGCCUCGAACUCCUGCCCUCGGGAUGAUGCUCUUGCCUCAGCCCCUCGAGUAGCUGGGACUCCAGGAGCGCGCCACCGCACCUGGUGCCAACUCUAACUAUUUAAACUGGAAACCUGCCACUAGGUGUGGAACCCAGUUUGAGAAGCCCUGAAAGAGCCCUGACCCGGGAGUUGGAACCCAGAGUCUGAGUGUCAGAGCUGUCUUCUACUGCUGUGUGACCUCAGGAAAGUUAGCAGGCUUCUCUGGGCUUGGCUUUGGUUUUUCCAUCUGGGAAAUGUCAUGGUUAGACUAAAUAUUUCCUAAACGUCUUUCAAGCUCCAAAAUUCUGUCUUAUGGGGGGAAAAUUCAGUCUGAAGUGGUGGGAAACUGUUUGAAAUAUAGACUUUUUGAAAAAAGAAAAGAAACAGAGUUUUGAGUUUGAGACCAUCGAGUAACAAACCAACUGCUGUAAAAGCAUUUUCCAAAUAAGGGUGCUGCAGGCCUUCUGGCAUGAAUGGAUAGAAAAUGAAGAACAGUUUCAUUAUUAGGAAGUAGGCUAAAGAUAGUCCCGCUAUCUUAUCCGGUAAUUAAUUUGUCAGUAACCCUUCCUCAUGAAAAGUACUAAGUAAUGAAAAGUCAAACUGAACAUUUAUACAGUUACUAGACAGUAAUGUAGACAGUUUUAAAAAAUAACGACACACACACGUAUAGCUAGGAUGACCAACUAACUGCCACGCUUUGCCCAGACUAAAGGGUUUCCUGGGGUGUGGGACUUUCAGUGCUAAACCCAGGGACUAAUUUGUCACCCUAUGUAUAGGGGCUUACGAUGUACCCAACAUUGUUCCAAACAUUUUUUCACAUACUAACUCUUUUAAUCUGCAUCACAACCCUAUACGGUAGGUAAUAUUAUUAUCUCCAUUUUACAGAUACUCAGGGGAAACUGAGGCUCAGAGAGGUUCCGUGACUUUCCAAGGCCACACAGCUGGUUGGCAGAGGUAGAUCCAGGAUGAAAAUCCACCCAGUCUUGGCUCCAGAGCUGGGCCAGCGACCGCCAUGCCAUACUGUCUUGCUGCUAACUUGUCUCCGUAGCGAAUCACAGAGCCACGGCCAGUCUAUGACCAA